CCUACGGGUGUCAGCAGUGAGGAAUAUUGGUCAAUGGGCGCAAGCCUGAACCAGCCAAGUCGCGUGAGGGAAGACGGCCCUACGGGUUGUAAACCUCUUUUGCCGGGGAGCAAGCCUGAGCACGUGUGCCCAGGCGGAGAGUACCCGGAGAAAAAGCAUCGGCUAACUCCGUGCCAGCAGCCGCGGUAAUACGUAGGGAGCGAGCGUUGUCCGGAAUUACUGGGUGUAAAGGGAGCGUAGGCGGGACUGCAAGUUGGGUGUCAAAUCUACCGGCUCAACCGGUAGCCGCACUCAAAACUGCAGUUCUUGAGUGAAGUAGAGGCAGGCGGAAUUGCUAGUGUAGCGGGGAAAUGCGUAGAUAUUAGGAGGAACACCAGUGGCGAAGGCGGCCUGCUGGGCUUUUACUGACGCUGAGGCUCGAAAGUGUGGGGAGCAAACAGGAUUAGAUACCCCAGUAGUC
rnacentral:rRNA from 1 species